rnacentral:rRNA from 1 species
CAGCAGCCGCGGUAAUACGUAUGUCACAAGCGUUAUCCGGAUUUAUUGGGCGUAAAGCGCGUCUAGGUGGUUAUGUAAGUCUGAUGUGAAAAUGCAGGGCUCAACUCUGUAUUGCGUUGGAAACUGUGUAACUAGAGUACUGGAGAGGUAAGCGGAACUACAAGUGUAGAGGUGAAAUUCGUAGAUAUUUGUAGGAAUGCCGAUGGGGAAGCCAGCUUACUGGACAGAUACUGACGCUGAAGCGCGAAAGCGUGGGUAGCAAACAGGAUUAGAUACCCCUGUAGUCCCUGUCUCUUAUACA